rnacentral:rRNA from 1 species
UACGUAGGCAGCAAGCGUUGUUCGGAGUUACUGGGCGUAAAGGGUGCGUAGGCGGCUUUUUAAGUUUGGUGUGAAAUCUCCCGGCUCAACUGGGAGGGUGCGCCGAAUACUGAGAGGCUAGAGUGCGGGAGAGGAAAGUGGAAUUCCUGGUGUAGCGGUGAAAUGCGUAGAUAUCAGGAGGAAUACCGGUGGUGUAAACGGCUUUCUGGACCGUAACUGACGCUGAGGCAUGAAAGCGUGGGUAGCAAACAGG